GCUUAACGCGAAGAACCUUACCAGGGCUUGAAUGCAUUAUGACAGGGGUGGAGACACCUUUUCCUUCGGGCAUUUUGCAAGGUGCUGCAUGGUUGUCGUCAGCUCGUGCCGUGAGGUGUCAGGUUAGGUCCUAUAACGAGCGCAACCCCUACCGUUAGUUGCCAGCGGGUCAUGCCGGGGACUCUAGCGGGACUGCCGGUGCAAACCGUGAGGAAGGUGGGGAUGACGUCAAAUCAUCACGGCCCUUACGUCCUGGGCCACACACGUGCUACAAUGGCCGGUACAGAGAGCGGCCACGCCGCAAGGCGGAGCGAAUCUACAAAACCGGUCACAGUUCGGAUCGGGGUCUGCAACCCGACCCCGUGAAGCUGGAAUCGCUAGUAAUCGGAUAUCAGCCAUGAUCCGGUGAAUACGUUCCCGGGUCUUGUACACACCG
rnacentral:rRNA from 1 species